GAUGAACGCUGGCGGCGUGCCUAAUACAUGCAAGUCGAGCGAACAGAUGAGGAGCUUGCUCCUCUGACGUUAGCGGCGGACGGGUGAGUAACACGUGGAUAACCUACCUAUAAGACUGGGAUAACUACGGGAAACCGGAGCUAAUACCGGAUAAUAUAUUGAACCGCAUGGUUCAAUAGUGAAAGACGGUUUUGCUGUCACUUAUAGAUGGAUCCGCGCCGCAUUAGCUAGUUGGUAAGGUAACGGCUUACCAAGGCAACGAUGCGUAGCCGACCUGAGAGGGUGAUCGGCCACACUGGAACUGAGACACGGUCCAGACUCCUACGGGAGGCAGCAGUAGGGAAUCUUCCGCAAUGGGCGAAAGCCUGACGGAGCAACGCCGCGUGAGUGAUGAAGGUCUUCGGAUCGUAAAACGCUGUUAUUAGGGAAGAACAAAUGUGUAAGUAACUAUGCACGUCUUGACGGUACCUAAUCAGAAAGCCACGGCUAACUACGUG
rnacentral:rRNA from 1 species